UACGUAGGGUGCGAGCGUUGUCCGGAAUUAUUGGGCGUAAAGAGCUUGUAGGCGGUUUGUCGCGUCUGCUGUGAAAAUCCGGGGCUCAACCCCGGACUUGCAGUGGGUACGGGCAGACUAGAGUGUGGUAGGGGAGACUGGAAUUCCUGGUGUAGCGGUGGAAUGCGCAGAUAUCAGGAGGAACACCGAUGGCGAAGGCAGGUCUCUAGGCCACUACUGACGCUGAGAAGCGAAAGCAUGGGGAGCGAACAGG
rnacentral:rRNA from 1 species